CGCUAAAAUCCCAAAGUAAUCACUCAGUGAUAAAAGGAGUGAUCAAGCAAUGACAACCAGAAGAUGAGCUUGAAAAUAACCAUCCUUUGAAGAAAGCAUAGUUGCUCAUUAGUCUAGAUCAAGGCAUUGAAAACAUUUCGGGCUCAAGUGAUUCACCGAAGCG
rfam:Nicotiana sylvestris Nsyl_contig63544, whole genome shotgun sequence.